CAGGCAUGUUGUUCUCUUGGGACUAGAGACAGUUCUGCAAAGAGACACUCGGACUAUUGCUGCUUGCUGAUCCAUACUAUUGCCUUGUUUUUACACUAUUUCGGAGUGCUUGAGAGUAGGGUGGUUCUGCCUAGUGCCAGCUGCCCACAGAGGGUCUGGUGAGGACCGUGAAGAAGAUUUUUACACAGAUCCCUGCAUUAGCUGCACAACAAGAAUUGCAAGGAAAAACAUUUGUAAAAGUCAUAAAAUCAAGUAAAUCUGGGAGGUGCCUCCCUGUGACUCUCUGGC